UAGGGAAUCUUCCGCAAUGGACGCAAGUCAGACGGAGCAACGCCGCGUGAGUGAAGAAGGAUUUCGGUUCGUAAAACUCUGUUGUUAGAGAAGAACAGCGCAUAGAGUAACUGUUAUGCGUGUGACGGUAUCUAACCAGAAAGCCACGGCUAACUACGUGCCAGCAGCCGCGGUAAUACGUAGGUGGCAAGCGUUGUCCGGAUUUAUUGGGCGUAAAGCGAGCGCAGGCGGUCAAUUAAGUCUGAUGUGAAAGCCCCCGGCUCAACCGGGGAGGGUCAUUGGAACCUGGUUGACUGGAGUGCAGAAGAGGAGAGUGGAAUUCCAGGUGUAGCGGUGAAAUGCGUAGAUAUAUGGAGGAACACCAGGGGCGAAGGCGACUCUCUGGUCUGUAACUGACGCUGAGGCUCGAAAGCGUGGGUAGCAAACAGG
rnacentral:rRNA from 1 species